rnacentral:lncRNA from 1 species
UACAUUAAAUACAAUGGUGGCCUUGAGACAGAGGAAGCAUAUCCCUACACUGGACAAAAUGGUCUCUGCAAAUUUACAUCUGAAAACGUUGCCGUUCAAGUCCUUGGCUCUGUCAAUAUCACCCUGGUAAUCAUAUGUUUGCUUGUUAAUUUACCGCAUGAUGUAUUUGUUAACUAACUGUACUCUAGCUAACGAUGGCUAAGUUAAUUUCUUGAGUUGGUUAAGCUGUUGCUGAGUUUAUAUUACUGUUAGUUGGUUGAAAGUGAUUCCAGAAAGAGCACAAUGCUCAUUUACAGAUUCUUUCUGUUUUCUCUAUUCACAUUAUGUGCUCGUAUGGAUAUUGUAAUGUCUCCUUGUAGUUUCUCUGAGAGACAUGGCAGAAUCAAAUCACUCAAACCUCGACUUCAUCAAUAUAAGAUUUUCUAAUUUUGUUUUUAAUUUUGUUUUGGGUAAUAGGGUGCUGAGGAUGAAUUGAAACAUGCAGUUGCUUUUGCUCGGCCCGUUAGUGUGGCAUUUCAGGUGGUUGAUGACUUCAGGUUAUACAAGAAAGGAGUUUACACUAGUACAACUUGUGGCAGCACACCCAUGGUGAGUGUUCUGCAAUAGCAAGAUAUUGCCUGAUCCUCCUCAAUCUAGUGUUUUAAUUCUUCAAUUUUUAGAACAAAAUGCUUAGCACAAGUUUAAUUUAACAAAUAGUUUAUGUUGAAUCUAUGGAACUCCAUCAUGACAUGCUUCCCGAGAAGUUAUCGAAAUUUGAUUUUGCCUGGCAGGAUGUGAAUCAUGCUGUUCUUGCUGUUGGGUAUGGAAUUGAAGAUGGUGUACCAUAUUGGCUCAUUAAAAACUCAUGGGGAGGUGAAUGGGGUGACCAUGGCUACUUCAAGAUGGAAAUGGGGAAGAAUAUGUGUGGUAAGGAUCCCCAGAUCUUAACUCUAAAAGAAUUGUUAAAGUGAACUCACCCAAUUGUCCUUUUCUGUCUUGGAUCUUGGUGAUUAAGUAACUGUGGCAAAAGCCUUUAGAUUGUGUUAUGGAGGAGCAAUUAUACAAAUUUCAAAUCCUUCACGUUUGUGAAAAAUGGCCUUUCUAGAGCUGUUGUUUGUUCUGAAUUUAUAGAGCUGAAAACAAUCAUUUUGCAGUUACCUGUUUUUGUUAAUCAUUUUUGUUUAAUUUCAGGUGUUGCAACUUGUUCAUCCUAUCCUGUUGUUGCCUAAAUGGUACGGAAGGAUGUGAUACCCGAAAGGCUGCCCUUGUGAAUUCCACCUUGCAUGUUAUGCUUUCUAGUUCAUCUUAAACGUAAAAUGUCUGAUACGAUGAUAAGUCUUUGUUGAUAUUCUUCUGUAAAAUAAGUUUGGAGUUUAGAUGCCAUUUCUUCUAUUUGUCAUAUACCACACUACAAAAUAAGAUUGUAAAUCAUGUAUCAUUAUCACACACAGACGUUAUCUUUAUUUGGUGUAUUUCCCCUGAUUAUGUAGCAAUUAAAGGAUAACAUGCUGGGUGUGUGUUUAUCAUUACUUAAUAGUUCAUGCCCUUCUUUGAGCUCAUUUAUCAAAUUUCGUUUAUGAAAAUAAAAAUAAAAAUUACUACGAUGACACUCCCCCUAAUGCAGAUGAGGGAUGUGCUUUUCAAAGAACUUGGGUGCAAUGUGUUUGUUUUUAGUACUUUGUAUCCUUUCAUUCAAAAUUCAAAGGGUUAAAUAUGUUUUUGAUCCCUAUAAAAUCUUUAAAUUUCAAAUUUUAGUCCUUAUAAAUUUUUUCAUCAAUUUUUUGUCCCUUAAAAAAUUUCUACCAUCACUUAUGGUACCUAUUUUUAAAUCAAAUUUGGAAGGAUAUACAUGAUUUUACCACUUUUGUUUGCUACUAUUUUUAUCCCUAUAGUAGAAAUAUUAUAUAAGAAUAAACAUACAAUAAGACAUUUUUUUAUCAGGACCAAUUUUGUUUUUUUUUUUUACACAAGCAAACUUAAGACAUUUUAUUAAUCAAAUAGUAGCAACACAACUUGAAAUUGCGAAAAUAAGUAUUAUGAUAAGCAUGAGAGAAAAUUGUCAAUGCAAGAACAUGAGCACUUAUGUUUGCUUGACUUAUAGUAAACACAACAUCAUAGUUGUUAUAAUUUUAAAUAAGGUCUUACAAUUUCGCACCGUUAAACAAUUUUUCAUGCGAUUCAAUUUGUUGGAAUGUACAUCAUCAACAACCAUCUUGCAAUCAUUUUCAAAAACAACACGAUGAUAUCCUAAAGAGGCGGUCCAUUUGAGGCCUUGAAGUAGGCCCCAAACUUUACUCUCGACUGAUGUCAUAGAUGCCUUGUAAACAUCAGACAUUACUCUUACAAAUUGUCCGACUUCAUCCCGCAACAUUGCUCCCAUUAUAUUGCGGUUCAAUUUUGUUUUGUUUGGUUUUAGAACUGAAUUAAACCAAACCAUAUGUGUAAAAAUGUUUUACAAAUUCCCAUGCUAAGUUUUCGGUCAACUGUAAAUAUUGCGGCAUCAAUGUUGCACUUGAGAUAACCGAUGGGAUGUGGUUGUCAUGUAACAUCAUACAGUUGUUGUUCCGGACUUGUACAAUAUUUUUAAAUCGGUUGUCAGAUAAUAUUUUAACGGUUUAAAAUAACGUCUCUAAAAACACGUUUGAAAAUAACGUUUAUUGAUUAUUUGUUGAAAUAAUAAAGUUAUCUCAAAUGUUUCUUCAAAAAAAAUGUUAUCUCAAAUGUGUAUGACAUUAGGAAAUUAUAUUUUAUUAAAUAUAUGUUUGAUGUUAUAAAGAGCAUAAAUAAAUUUGUAUAUUUAGGAGUGAAACUUUUUUGUAAAUGAUAUUAUAAUUAAAAACGGAAGGAGUAUGUUAAGAAAUGUAUUUUUCAUAGAGAAAUGAUAUUUGUACAACUACUUUUUAACAAUUAUUGAAAUAACUCUCUCUUUUACUCACAUGUAUUUUUAUUCUCCCUCUUUUUCUAUCUUUCUAUUAUUUUUAUUCAAUAAAAAGAGAAAAAAAAAUAACCGUCACAAAAAUUGUCUAAAAUUUAUGUAGAAAUAUCGUUCCACUUUUUCCUAAUGUUAAACACGUGACAAAAUUUCACUCAAGGUUGUUUUCAAAAUACGGUUAUGCAUUAUCAUAAAAAAAGAAGAAAAAAAAAAUAGGUACCACCCAUGCAUCUGUCUAUUUCCUUCAAACAAAUAAGGCAUCUACCUCUUUUUUUUUCUUUCUUUUUUCUGGUCCUGCUCAUUUAUCAGUAUCUAAUAUCUAUCUAACUAUCUUUAUACACCUAAAUCUUAAAUCAAACGUGUCCAAAUGUGUUUGGGUAGAGAUUGAGUCCAAAAAGGACUGUCGUGGAUCCAAAUUGAUGGGACCUCCUACGGCCAUGGAAAUGAGAAAAACUUCCUCCAUCUCUAAAAUAGUUUUGGAUAUAUACAUAUCUUCCUAAAAAAAGGAUAUAUAUACACACACACAUUUAGAGAAAAGAAGAAAAUAGAAAGAAGAAAGAAAAAAAAUACUGUAUCACUACGUAUUUAUAGGUAAGAUUAAUCAUGUGCCAUUUGUUAAAAUUCUAAGGGGUGAAAAUCAUCUAUCGCAUGGAAAUAUUCAUAUAAUAUUAGAGAAUCAAGAAUUGAAAUCUAAUUUGUCCCCCUUUCUCGAACCUUUGCCAUCACAAUUUUUCUUCUUGAUUUGUCAAAGAUGAAUGAUUUAGAGUUAAAUUUUGACUCAAAAUCACUCAUCUGAAUUGUUUAUUUUUCCUCUUUUAGUUAAAUAAGUGAUUUUUAUAUAUUUUUCAGUUUUAUUUCGUUUAUUUUUGUGAUCUCGUCGUCUCGCACAACUUUGUUUAUUUUGAUUUUCCGUCUUUUUGAGUUGUUUUUUUAUUUUCCGUCUUAGCAGAUUGUUUAUUUGAUUCAGGUUGAAAGAUUAACAUUCAUCAAUUGCAGAUUCAAUUAAUGAUUUUCGCGUUGUGAACGUUGCAUAUGCAAGGACAUGAAUAUUCCAAUGGCUUGAAUAUUGUCAUAUAGGUAUAUACUCAGCCAUUUUAUACUAUUAACGUGGAUGUUGUGAAUUUGUUCGUAAAUUCUUCAUUUUUGUUUUUAACGAGUUUGAAUUUAUUGUAUCGAUUUAUUUUAUCAAUUUAAAUAAAUGAAUAUAAUUUAUUUUUGUAAAAAAAAUCAAUAGCAAAGUUCUCCAUUAUUGAUAGUGCAUACAUCAUUUAUUUUUAAUUUUUUAAUUAUAAUAUUCGAUAAACACUCAAAUCCUUCACUUUUGCAUCCUUAAUAAACUUAUUAAAUAAGUCUAAUAAUUCCAUAACAUUACAUUUUAACUACAUUCAUCUAUUUAGAGUUUGGGUAUGCUCAUUUAGGUAAUGCUCCAUUUAAUCCAUUUAGGAGUUUGAAUGCAAGAUAUGUGGCAAAAAAACAUUCGAAGGCUGAGAUUUUAAAUUAAAAUAAAUAUUUAUUUAAUUAAAAAAAAGUCUAGUACAUUUUUUUUCCUUAAACACGUCGUUUUCUUUUCACGACGUUUCACCACCGCCAUCUUUCCUUCUGCCGCUACCCUUUUCACCACCGUCCUCUUUCCCUCUCCGUCGUCGCCGCCCUCUUCAUCUCUCUGACGCAGCUGCCUUCCACCACCGCCGUCAAUUUUGCCAUUCUUACAUCUGUCGUAAUAUUUCAGCAAAUUCAAUCUCAAAUCAAUCAAACAGUUUGUAACACCAAUUGAAUCCUCAACCUUUAUUUGAUUUUCACCUCGAUUAAAGUAGUGUUUGGAUUUUGUAUUUGCCCAAUGGUUCUUCAAUUACCUUCUUUGUUUAUUGCUCGACAUUUUAUGUUCUGGUGGCCGGAGGAGUGAGUGUCACAGCAAUGACGAGAGUAAGAUGAAAACACGAAGAAGAAAAGGUUUGCGACGACGAUGAUACAUGUGGUUUCAACGGAGGCGUUGGAGAGCGGCGGCAGAGAAAGGGAAGAGGGGCGGUGGUGUAGUGGAAAAAGCAGGGAUCUGACACUGUUUGUGCGGAAGAGAAACAUAACGGUUUUUAUUUUGUUUAAUUAAAUAAAUAAUUAUUUUUAAUUUAAAAUCUCAGCCUUUGGAUGUUUUUUUGCCACAUGUCUUGCAUCCAAACCCCUAAAUAGACUAAAUUGAGCAUACCUGAACCCCUAUUUUAACAAUGUGAGAUCCACUACGAGUGUAUUCAAUGAAUCUACUUUUCUCCACAAAGGCCCAUUUGUUUUUAAGAAAAAUUCUACAAUGAAGUCACGAUAAUGACUUUUCUGGUGAAGUUAAAUGACCAAUUAUUUAAUCUAUAUCACGUCAGAUUAUAUGGUGUAUUGCACAUUUGCCCAUAAAGUGUGUCAUUAUAUCAAUUGUAUCUUUGAUUAAAUCAAAGUUAAACAAAAUAACUUUUCCAAAAAAAUCAAUUUUCUGACUGCACUGUAGAAUCCCACUAGUUUUUAAUCAGCACUUACUUAUGUACAACUAAGGCUUAAUGAAUUAAGCUAUUUUGUUUAUCAAAUAAUAUAGUGAUUAAUAAGGACUAAACUAUCGUUCAUACAUAUAACAAUGCAUUAUUUCUGUCAGCCGAGCACCUAACAAGGACUAAUCAAUUAAGCUCUUACCUCUUACCAAACGGGUGUUUGUGGAAAGUUUAAGCUUGUGAAUCGCGAGUUCAUGACCCUUUAUUAGCGUUGACACGAGGCACUAUCCCUGUGUUUAUAAUAAAAAAAUGUAGGAAAGGACCUGCCGGCCCACUCCUCCAUUCCACAGCUAGCAACGUGCUACCCUCCCUCUCCUCGUGGCUGAUGUCUUUUUACUUUGAAACUAAUAAUAGCAUAUUUUAUAAUAAAACGAGUUCUACGAUGCUGUCCUAAUAAGAAAACAAAUUUAAAUCAGUCAUUUUUUAUAAAAUAAAGCUAACUUCUAUUUUUGUGCCUCGUAAAUUCACUUUUUCAUUUAAAUUUUUUUUAUAGUCAAAUACAUAGAAAUGCAUAAAGUAUAAUUGUUGACUAAAAUUUGAUAAUUUUACUCAGUCUACUCCUUUUGUCUCAAAGACUAAAAUUCGAUAACUUCAUGCAUAAAGUAUAAUUUCUUUGGAACCAUGUGAACAAUUUUAGGGCAAACUUCAGAAAGUUGUAAUAUUAUGGGAGUACAUAUUAGUUUGAGUACAGGCACUUACCUUUGUCUCCCUUGCUAGCGUGUCUCUUUAAUUUAGUUAUGUGAUUGUGAUGAACUGAUGAUAGAGUAAGAUCAAAAGUUUACUACUCACCGUAAUUACUGAAUGAAGAAUGAGUAAUAUUAUUGUUGGACACUACACUGUUGCAUGUCACCAGAAAUUGACACUUAAACAAGAAGUUGAAGGUUUUUGCUCAAAGUGAAGAAUCUUCUUCGGUGUAUAUGACGAAAUUAUGUGUCUAAUAGAUUUAGACUUUGAGACAAAAGAGUAGAAUCUGCUUCCGUGAUCUAGGAGAGGAUGGAAAGCUACACCUUUAAUUUAACCAGAGUCUUUCUUAUUGAUAGAGCAACGUACAUCGAUCCUUUUGUAAUGAUGUAAAUUUAUUACUUUCUCAAGGAUUUGGAUUUUCUUAUUUACAACUCGAGCAUAGUACUAUAGUGAUAGAGUCACAACAUUCAAACAUGUGAUAUAACAUCAUUGAACAACCAUGCAAUAUUGGUCGCGAUCCCAAAACAUUUAUCUUGUCAUGCUGCUGCUGUCUGCUCCUAGGGACAAGUGGACUUCAAAUAUAAAGCUUGUUAGCCGUAGUGCAAUAUUGAUGCUUCUUUCACCUUGAGGCAAAAUCAUGUUGGCAUUGAAGUGUGUGUCUGCAUGGGGAUGAAGGGUGUUCUGUUCUUGCCAAAAUGGAAGGGUGGAAGCCUCUAACUUUGGCGGUUGAAAGAAAAGUGCCUUGUCUUUGAUUUGUUGAAUAAUGUUGACUUUGAGCUUGAUUGCAAAAUAUUGGUGGAUGCUUUUCACAACCCAAAGAUGAUGUCUCAGAGUUUUGUUUCAUAAAUGUGGAUUGUUUUGUUGGCAGAUUUUAUUCUGUAUUGAAAAUUUCUAAAGUUGUUUUUAUUAGAGACAAAUCUACUAUUUGGUCGUCUGUCUUAACUCAAACAACCACAUUCUUAUAGUUGGUUUCCAUUUUAUAUUCUCA